UAAGCAAGCCGUCUUAUCGCUGCGUAUGCAAAUACGGAGAGGAAAGUCCGGGCAGCACAGAGCACCGUACUUCCUAACGGGAAGGGAUGAUUUUGGUGACGAAAUCAUUACAGACAGGGCCACAGAAAAUAUACCGUCCUUGCUUCGGCAGGGAUAAGGGUGAAAAGGUGGGGUAAGAGCCCACCGCUCGGCUGGCGACAGCAGAGGCAGGGUAAACCUUACGGGCUGAAAGGCCAAAUAGGUUCCGCCACCUUCGGGUAAAGGGCGGCUCGUCCUUAUGCGGAAUGGGUAGGCUGAUGGAUCCAGCGCGUGAGUGCUGGGCUAGAUAAAUGAUAAGAGUUUCCUGCAAAGGAAAAACAGAACCCGGCUUACAGGCUUGCUUAUUUU
rnacentral:RNase_P_RNA from 1 species